GUGGGGAAUAUUGGACAAUGGGCGCAAGCCUGAUUCAGCCAUGCCGCGUGAGUGAUGAAGGCCCUAGGGUUGUAAAGCUCUUUCACCGGUGAAGAUAAUGACGGUAACCGGAGAAGAAGCCCCGGCUAACUUCGUGCCAGCAGCCGCGGUAAUACGAAGGGGGCUAGCGUUGUUCGGAAUUACUGGGCGUAAAGCGCACGUAGGCGGACAUUUAAGUCAGGGGUGAAAUCCCAGAGCUCAACUCUGGAACUGCCUUUGAUACUGGGUGUCGUGAGUAUGGAAGAGGUAAGUGGAAUUCCGAGUGUAGAGGUGAAAUUCGUAGAUAUUCGGAGGAACACCAGUGGCGAAGGCGGCUUACUGGUCCAUUACUGACGCUGAGGUGCGAAAGCGUGGGGAGCAAACAGGAUUAGAAACCCUUGUAGUCC
rnacentral:rRNA from 1 species